rnacentral:rRNA from 1 species
UACGUAGGGGGCAAGCGUUGUCCGGAAUCAUUGGGCGUAAAGAGCGUGUAGGCGGCCCGGUAAGUCCGCUGUGAAAGUCCAGGGCUCAACCCUGGGAUGCCGGUGGAUACUGUCGGGCUCGAGUCCGGAAGAGGAGUGUGGAAUUCCUGGUGUAGCGGUGAAACGCGCAGAUAUCAGGAGGAACACCAAUGGCGAAGGCAGCACUCUGGGACGUGACUGACGCUGAGACGCGAAAGCGUGGGGAGCAAACAGG